GCUCACUAGUCGAGUGCUCUUGCGCGGAUAAUGUACCGGGGCUAAGCAUAUUACCGAAACUGUGGAUGCGUAAGCAUGGUAGGAUAGCGUAAUUAACGCGAUGAAGGAUGACCGUAAGGACAUGUUGGAGCGUUAACUAGUGAGAAUUCCGGUAUGAGUAGCGAAAGAUAGGUGAGAAUCCUAUCCACCGAAUGAGUAAGGUUUCCCCCGGAAGGCUCGUCCGCGGGGGGUUAGUCGGGACCUAAGGCGAGGCUGAAAAGCGUAGUCGAUGGACAACAGGUUGAUAUUCCUGUACCGAUAUUUAAUUGCCGAAGGAAGGACGCAGAAGGAUAACACAGGCCACUAUUGGAUGUGGUUUUAAACAGUUAGUCUUCAUAAGAGUCAAAUGCUUUUAUGUUUAAGGAUAAGCUGUGAAUGUACCAAGUUUACUUGGAAAUUGUGUGAUUUCACGCUGCUGAAAAAAGUUUCGUAGGAAGAAAAUAUUGCCCGUACCGCAAACCGACACAGGUACUCAAGUGGAGAACACUAAGGUGAGCGAGUGAACUAUUGUUAAGGAACUCUGCAAAAUGAGUCCGUAACUUCGGAAGAAGGACUGCUGGUUUUAUACCAGCCGCAGCAAAUAGGCCCAAACAACUGUUUAUCAAAAACACAGGUUUCUGCAAAAUCGUAAGAUGAAGUAUAGGGGCUGACGCCUGCCCAGUGCUGGAAGGUUAAAAGGAGGACUUAGCUUCGGCGAAGGUCUUAAUUGAAGCCCCAGUGAACGGCGGCCGUAACUAUAACGGUCCUAAGGUAGCGAAAUUCCUUGUCGGGUAAGUUCCGACCCGCAUGAAAGGCGUAAUGAUUUGGGCGCUGUCUCAACAAUAGACUCGGUGAAAUUUAAAUUCCAGUGAAGAUGCUGGGUACCCGCGACAGGACGGAAAGACCCCGUGGAGCUUUACUGUAGCUUGAUAUUGAAUGUUUGUGCUGCAUGUGCAGGAUAGGUAGGAGACUUUGAAGUCGGAACGCUAGUUUCGAUUGAGUCACCCUUGAGAUACUACCUCUGUUGUAUGAACGUUCUAACUCUGAUCAGUUAUCCUGAUCGAAGACAGUGUCUGGCAGGCAGUUUGACUGGGGCGGUCGCCUCCUAAAAGAUAACGGAGGCGCUCAAAGGUUUGCUCAGAAUGGUUGGAAAUCAUUCGUAGCGUGUAAAGGCAUAAGCAAGCUUGACUGUGAGACUGACAAGUCGAGCAGGUACGAAAGUAGGACUUAGUGAUCCGGUGGUUCCGUAUGGAAGGGCCAUCGCUCAACGGACAAAAGCUACCCCGGGGAUAACAGGCUCAUCUCCCCCAAGAGUCCACAUCGACGGGGAGGUUUGGCACCUCGAUGUCGGCUCAUCGCAUCCUGGGGCUGUAGUCGGUCC
rnacentral:rRNA from 1 species